GUGAGUAAUUGAAAAUACACAAGCAUGUUCUGUGCGAUCAGUGCUCUGCAAACAUGCACCUGUAGCGUUUCAACUCUUAAAGAAGAUAAAAUAGCCCGCACUCUCUAAUGUUUACUCUGCCACUAUUUAAUCUAGGUGAUAGCUCCCAUUCUUCUUCCCUUAUUAAAUACCGUCCUGAAUCUUAAUCAUUGUUGUAUGCUUUAAAAUAGGCUGAGUUCAAGAUUCCUGAUAGUGAUGGACGACUUUUGGGCUUCAGUUGUACGUCCCUAGCAUGAGAUUUCCUUAACAAGAUCUGGCUGUCCAUUUGCUGAACGCUUGACCUUUUACUGAGAGAAAAGUUCAUACAAGCACAAAAGAUAAACAAGACGUUCGGAAGACGCUACUCCUAUUAAACCAUGGAUCGGAUCCUGUAAAGAAACGUUUUGAUACUAAGCAUGCUUUCUUUGGUAAGUCUGCAAGUACACAACACCAGUGUCUGUUACUUAACUCUAAAUGUGACAAAACAUUUAACAUAAAGGGCAAAAUCCUGUCCGCUCUUUUUAUUGCAUUAGGGGGAAAAAAAAAAAGUGUGAGCAGAUAAAAUGUUCAGGCACCAGAUGAGAGCAGACAGAACCAAUAAAAUCAGUAAGAUGGUAUUGUAUUGUGCUCUG
rnacentral:lncRNA from 1 species